rnacentral:rRNA from 1 species
GAUCCUGGCUCAGGAUGAACGCUGGCGGCGUGCCUAACACAUGCAAGUCGAGCGAAGCACUUUGCUUAGAUUCUUCGGAUGAAGAGGAUUGUGACUGAGCGGCGGACGGGUGAGUAACGCGUGGGUAACCUGCCUCGUACAGGGGGAUAACAGUUAGAAAUGACGUGCUAAUACCGCAUAAGACCACAGCACCGCAUGGUGCGGGGGUAAAAACUCCGGUGGUAUGAGAUGGACCCGCGU